rnacentral:rRNA from 1 species
GGACGGGUGAGUAAUGCUUAGGAAUCUGCCCAUUAGUGGGGGACAACUCGGGGAAACUCGAGCUAAUACCGCAUACGCCCUACGGGGGAAAGCGGAGGACCUUUCGGGGCUUCGCGCUAAUGGAUGAGCCUAAGUCGGAUUAGCUUGUUGGUGAGGUAAAGGCUCACCAAGGCGACGAUCCGUAGCUGGUCUGAGAGGACGAUCAGCCACACUGGGACUGAGACACGGCCCAGACUCC